AAGAGGUGGGGGAGGAGGGCCGUCUCUCCUGCAGCUGAAGGCAUCCCCACGCUACGUGCUCUGCUCCUCCUGCCUCGUUGCGUUUUCGAGGAGGGUUUGUUCCGGGACAAAGUUAGGUGCGGAGAGUUUGAUGGAUCCCUGGUUCCCGGGGCCCUGGAGGGACCCGUGACACACUGCCCUGUGCACCUACACCAUGCGCUGAACUGGAGCGCAGCGGACUCGUGCGCUUUCCCACACGAGCAGCCCUGCUCACUUGGAACGUUGCAAGAAGAAAUUGCUCUGUGGGACUCUCCCCGUGGGGAGAAGGCUUUCUGCAGUCGCAUCUACAGUCCAACCUGGUGGCUUUUGCUUGGCCACGGUGCCCCAGGAUAAACUGGGUUUAACCGGUGGCCUGUAAAAUAGUCUUCAUCAAGAUCUAUGCUUUACAGGAUUCAAAUCUAAGCCUAUUUUACUUUUGAACCAAAGAUCCCAGGCUCGUUGAGGAAAACCAGCCAGCUCCGUGUGUUGCAUUUAAUAUUUUAUUGCUCAUUGGUCACCACAGAAAGCACUGCUGGACCAGUGAUGGGAAGAUGAACAAUUAUGUCAACAGAAAGGGUGGUGACCAUGACAACUCUGAAGCAAUCCCAGGGAACCAGCACCUUGAAUUCUCAUUGCCCAGAGAACCCCAGUCUACAUCGUUACAGCUGGGCCUGCAAAGAUACAUCGGCUUCCAUCCCAGUGAUUGUGGGUUUCUGAGACGCAUCCAGGCUGCCCACUGAGGGGAGAAUAAUUGGUGUAGGUGGAAGGUCACCACAGAGUAUCUCCAGCUCCACAGUUAAAUUGUAGUACUGUGAAGAUAGACAAGGGCUGGGUCUUUUAUCUAACAGGAAAUAAUUUUAAUUGAAUCUUUUUAGUUAUAUACCAAUAAAAUUUAAACAUAAUUGCCUUUGUUAAGUAUUGUUAGCAUGAGGCUGAGUAAUGGAAAUUACAAAGAAAAUUUAAAACUUGCUUACUGAAUAUAGAGAAUGGAAUGAUAGAAAACUAACUCCACAAUUUUGGGGGAUGUUCUGUUAACUCAGAUCUGUUUUAACCUGGUGUAAUAAGAAACACAGAAAUGAUGGUCAUUGA